rnacentral:rRNA from 1 species
AACGAACGCUGGCGGCAUGCCUAACACAUGCAAGUCGAACGAACCCUUCGGGGUUAGUGGCGCACGGGUGCGUAACGCGUGGGGAUCUGCCCUUUGCUUCGGAAUAACAGUUAGAAAUGACUGCUAAUACCGGAUGAUGUCGAAAGACCAAAGAUUUAUCGGCAAAGGAUGAACCCGCGUAGGAUUAGCUAGUUGGUGGGGUAAAGGCCUACCAAGGCGACGAUCCUUAGCUGGUCUGAGAGGAUGAUCAGCCACACUGGGACUGAGACACGGCCCAGACUCCUACGGGAGGCAGCAGUGGGGAAUAUUGGACAAUGGGCGAAAGCCUGAUCCAGCAAUGCCGCGUGAGUGAUGAAGGCC